AUUGAACGCUGGCGGCAUGCCUUACACAUGCAAGUCGAACGGUAACGCGGGGCAACCUGGCGACGAGUGGCGAACGGGUGAGUAAUGCAUCGGAACGUGCCUGGUAGUGGGGGAUAACUGCUCGAAAGAGCAGCUAAUACCGCAUACGACCUGAGGGUGAAAGGGGGGGAUCGCAAGACCUCUCGCUAUCAGAGCGGCCGAUGUCGGAUUAGCUAGUUGGUGGGGUAAAGGCCCACCAAGGCAACGAUCCGUAGCUGGUCUGAGAGGACGACCAGCCACACUGGGACUGAGACACGGCCCAGACUCCUACGGGAGGCAGCAGUGGGGAAUUUUGGACAAUGGACGCAAGUCUGAUCCAGCCAUGCCGCGUGCGGGAAGAAGGCCUUCGGGUUGUAAACCGCUUUUGUCAGGGAAGAAAUCUUCUGGGCUAAUACCCUGGGAGGAUGACGGUACCUGAAGAAUAAGCACCGGCUAACUACGUGCCAGCCGCCGCCGUAACAC
rnacentral:rRNA from 1 species